GCGACCGUGGUGUAGUGGUUAGCAUUAACGCCUUCCAAGCGUUAGAGAGGGGUUCGAUUCCCUCGGUCGCA
rnacentral:tRNA from 1 species